rnacentral:rRNA from 1 species
CCUACGGGAGGCAGCAGUGAGGAAUAUUGGUCAAUGGCCGGAAGGCUGAACCAGCCAUGCCGCGUGAAGGUCAGUGCCCUAUGGGCGUUAAACUUCUUUUGUGCGGGAGCAAUAAUGGUCACGUGUGGCCAGACGAGAGUACCGUACGAAUAAGCAUCGGCUGACUCCGUGCCAGCAGCCGCGGUAAUACGGGGGAUGCAAGCGUUAUCCGGAUUUAUUGGGUUGAAAGGGUGCGUAGGCUGUGAGGUAAGUCAGCGGUGAAAUGCCCCCGCUCAACGGGGUGAAGUGCCAUUGAUACUGCCUGGCUGGAAUGCGGAUGCGGUGUGAGGAAUGUGUGGUGUAGCGGUGAAAUGCAUAGAUAUCACACGGAACACCGAUUGCGAAGGCAUCUCACGGAUCCGCGAUUGACGCUGAUGCACGAAAGCGUGGGUAUCAAACAGGAUUAGAUACCCGGGUAGUC